rnacentral:rRNA from 1 species
AGUGAACGCUGGCGGUAGGCCUAACACAUGCAAGUCGAACGGCAGCACAGUAAGAGCUUGCUCUUACGGGUGGCGAGUGGCGGACGGGUGCGGAAUACAUCGGAAUCUACUUUUUCGUGGGGGAUAACGUAGGGAAACUUACGCUAAUACCGCAUACGACCUACGGGUGAAAGCAGGGGAUCUUCGGACCUUGCGCGAUUGAAUGAGCCGAUGUCGGAUUAGCUAGUUGGCGGGGUAAAGGCCCACCAAGGCGACGAUCCGUAGCUGGUCUGAGAGGAUGAUCAGCCACACUGGAACUGAGACACGGUCCAGACUCCUACGGGAGGCAGCAGUGGGGAGUAUUGGACAAUGGGCGCAAGCCUGAUCCAGCCAUACCGCGUGGGUGAAGAAGGCCUUCGGGUUGUAAAGCCCUUUUGUUGGGAAAGAAAAGCAGCAGGUUGAUACCCCGCUGUUCUGACGGUACCCAAAGAAUAAGCACCGGCUAACUUCGUG